UGCACGGCUGGAGAAGCCCUGAGUGGUA
rnacentral:piRNA from 1 species